UACGUAGGGGGCAAGCGUUGUCCGGAUUUAUUGGGUGUAAAGAGCUCGUAGGCGGUGUGUCGCGUCGGCCGUGAAAACCUGCAGCUUAACUGUGGGCUUGCGGUCGAUACGGGCAUCACUGGAGUUCGGCAGGGGAGACUGGAAUUCCUGGUGUAGCGGUGAAAUGCGCAGAUAUCAGGAGGAACACCGGUGGCGAAGGCGGUUCUCUGGGCAUUACCUGACGCUGAGGAGCGAAAGUGUGGGGAGCGAACAGG
rnacentral:rRNA from 1 species